rnacentral:rRNA from 1 species
AUGAACGCUAGCGACAGGCCUAACACAUGCAAGUCGAGGGGCAGCACAAGGAGCAAUCUGAGGUGGCGACCGGCGCACGGGUGAGUAACACGUAUGCAACCUGCCUGUAAGCGGGGAAUAACCCGUUGAAAGACGGACUAAUACCGCAUAAUACUAAAUUACUGCAUGGUAAUUUAUUUAAACAUUUAUGGCUCACAGAUGGGCAUGCGCAUGAUUAGCUAGUUGGAGAGGUAACGGCUCCCCAAGGCAACGAUCAGUUAGGGGUUCUGAGAGGAACGGUCCCCCACACUGGUACUGAGACACGGACCAGACUCCGUACGGGAGGCAGCAGUGAGGAAUAUUGGUCAAUGGACGAGAGUCUGAACCAGCCAAGUCGCGUGCAGGAAGAAUGUCCUUAAUGGAUUGUAAACUGCUCUUGCAGGGGAAUAAAGUGCAUCACGUGUGAUGUUUUGUAUGUACUCUGCGAAUAAGGAUCGGCUAACUCCGUGCCAGCAGCCGC